GGAUGUGAGGGCGAUCUGGCUGCGACAUCUGUCACCCCAUAGAUCGCCGGGGUUGAUUCAGCUGAUCUGGCUGGCUGGGCGGGUGUCCCCCUCCUCCCUCACCGAUCCAUGUGCGCUCGGUCGAGGAGGACGACCUUCCCCGCCCCCACCCCCCCAGGAGAGGACCGGUCUUCGGUCAAGGGGGUGCGAGUAGCUGCGCUCCCCUGCUGGAACCUCCAAACAAGCUCUCAAGAUAUGACACAGGUAUGCAGCAGGUUACUGAUAUUACCAAAGAAAGUGUAUAUGU
rnacentral:snRNA from 1 species